CCUACGGGAGGCAGCAGUGGGGAAUAUUGGACAAUGGGGGGAACCCUGAUCCAGCCAUGCCGCGUGUGUGAAGAAGGCCCUCGGGUUGUAAAGCACUUUCAGUGAGGAAGAACGCCUGGUGGUUAAUACCCAUCAGGAAAGACAUCACUCACAGAAGAAGCACCGGCUAACUCCGUGCCAGCAGCCGCGGUAAUAUGGAGGGUGCGAGCGUUAAUCGGAAUUACUGGGCGUAAAGCGCGCGUAGGUGGCUUGAUAAGCCGGUUGUGAAAGCCCCGGGCUCAACCUGGGAACGGCAUCCGGAACUGUCAAGCUAGAGUGCAGGAGAGGAAGGUAGAAUUGCCGGUGUAGCGGUGAAAUGCGUAGAGAUCGGGAGGAAUACCAGUGGCGAAGGCGGCCUUCUGGACUGACACUGACACUGAGGUGCGAAAGCGUGGGUAGCAAACAGGAUUAGAUACCCGAGUAGUC
rnacentral:rRNA from 1 species